GUCUACAGCCAUGCCACCCUGAACGUGCCUGAUCUCGUCUGAUCUUGGAAGGUAAACAGGGUCGGGCCUGGUUAGUACUUGGAUGGGAGACCACCUAGGAAUACCAGGUGCUGUAGGAA
rnacentral:rRNA from 1 species